GGUCGGUGCAAAGGCCGAGCCACGCUAUGCAUGGAGACCCCUGGUUGAUUGGAGGUCUGUAUUUCAUUAGACCUCCCUGAUAGAUUGGAGGUCUGUCUUUCCUCGUACCUCCCUGGUUGAUGGGAGGUCUGUCUUUCCUUGAACUCCUCUGUUCGUAGGGAGCCUUCUAUUUGCAGGGGAGCCUCUGGUUGGGUGGAGACUCUAGGAUGGUUGUUUUCCAGAGCAAGUUUUAACUUCACCUUCAGGUCUGCAACCUGACCCUGCAGAGAUUUCACUGUUUCCUCCUGUUCUUUGAAUUUGGAAGCUUGCUCUGUGUGACUUUUGAGCUGCUCCUCAUAUUUAAGUCUCACUCUAUAUUCUUCAACCAUUACUUCUAUCAGACCUUUAUUGCGGGAGGCGUAUUUUUCAGCCUCCCUCUUGAAGUAGUCCAACUGUUGAAGAACGCUCUUGUCGGCUGUAACUUUGGUAGAGCAAGAAACCUUUGAUACAUGGAUCUCUGGCACGUUUCUUUCAUGUUCGCGUUUGACUCGCAGGUGAUGUUCUUUUACUACCAUUUUUUGCAGUUUUUGAAUCUCCUCCUGCUGUGAUUUGACUUCAGCCUGGCAUGCAAUCCUUCGUUCUCUUUCCUCAUGGAGAUCAAAAAUCUUACCCUGCAGUUCUUUUUUAAGAUCGUCUACCUGCUUUGUGAGAUUGAUGACGUGUUGGCUUGACUCUUCCACGACUUCCACCGAGGGGGUAAUCUCGAAGCCAGCAGAGGGAGUUGUUUCCUGCUCGACUUCCAAUGAUGUUGGAUUCUCUAAGUCGCCGGAAGGACUUGAUUCCCCCUGGAUCUCUGUUGAUCCGUCUUCCGGCUCAAUGGGGCUGUCUGUGUCUUCCUCGAAAGGGAAAAUGACAGCGUCGUAGUCGACUUGGAUGUUCAGGUCCAUAAUGUCGACCCAUGAAAGCUCAGGUGGAAAAGCUUCAUGUUCACAAGCAAUCUGUUGUUGCUUCAUGUCGAUGUUCUGGUAAAUUCUUGCUUCUCUGAAAGGCGUGUAAUAUCUGGAAUCGAUAUCCCGCUUGCUUCGAUUAAUUUCGAACUUGCUCUGAAGAGUGAUCUGUCGCGAUAGAACUGAGGAACAGGUCUGAGAAAACGCUGUCUGCGAGCUACAUUCAAGAGAGAGACUCCUUUGUGGUAUCAGAGUGUCGUCAUAACCGCUGAUGUCAUUGAUACCAUUGGAACUGAACAUUCUAUCAACCUUAUUCCUGGGAAGCUUACUGGGGAAACGAUUAAGGGUAUUACUUCCAUCGCCCACCAGAAGUAGAAGUAUUUCAUUGUAAUUUGGAGGGUUUUUGGCUAAUCUAUAUUCAUGAUAGAAGUUACAUCUCUGUUUUCAGUUAUUGUACAAUAUUUAGUAAACUUGUUUAUGGACACCGUCUGCUAUCAGAGAGCUAUUCAGUACAGAGGAUUGUAAUUAUGAGCUUAAUCACGGGGAGCAACAGUGACACCGCGUUAAGUUUUGUAACGGAAUUUCAAAAUAAAAGCCUAAAUAUUCCUCUCAGGGUAGUGCUAACUAAUAUUAGCAUUUACUAUCUUUUUUCUCUCAGGUUAUUGCACUGCCCUGCUGCGCAAGACAGUAAAUUAACCUUAGCACAAACCUUUGCAUUUCACUGCCCCCAUUAGCAUUAGCCUUUUCCCUAAAAGAAGCUUUUAGCUAUUUUUCUUAUUUAUUAGCCAUGCUUAGUACACUGAAUGGAGUGAUGCUCCACAUGCUACUGACAGCAUUUUGGCUAAUG